GAUGAACGCUGGCGGCGUGCUUAACACAUGCAAGUCGAACGAUGAAGCCCAGCUUGCUGGGUGGAUUAGUGGCGAACGGGUGAGUAACACGUGAGUAACCUGCCCUUGACUCUGGGAUAAGCCUGGGAAACUGGGUCUAAUACUGGAUAUGACUUCUCAUCGCAUGGUGGGGGGUGGAAAGAUUUAUUGGUCUUGGAUGGACUCGCGGCCUAUCAGCUUGUUGGUGAGGUAAUGGCUCACCAAGGCGACGACGGGUAGCCGGCCUGAGAGGGUGACCGGCCACACUGGGACUGAGACACGGCCCAGACUCCUACGGGGGGCAGCAGUGGGGAAUAUUGCACAAUGGGCGCAAGCCUGAUGCAGCGACGCCGCGUGAGGGAUGACGGCCUUCGGGUUGUAAACCUCUUUCAGUAGGGAAGAAGCGAGAGUGACGGUACCUGCAGAAGAAGCGCCGGCUAACUACGUG
rnacentral:rRNA from 1 species